UUUGGACCAUAUUUGGUCACCGAAAGUUCUAACGAACUGUAAUCUCUAACAGAUAGUAGCCGGAUUUUAUUUUCCACUUUCCGAGUGUCGGAUUAACAUAAAACUUUAAAUCUAGCCUUAUAAAAAUAUUUUCGACAUAUUCUCCAGUUUUCAUAAUUUUCUGACACUGUGCAUUUUCUGCUAAAAUAUCAGCCCCGUUCUUUACAGAAAAUUCUAAAUCUUCUCUUUCAGGUCCAAUUUCAGCACAAGUCAUUUUCGACUUCUAUUUUACUUCUCUAAGUCAAAUAAAAAUAGUAUCUCACACUAUUUUUAUUUAUAUUUAUUUUUACAUUAAAAAUCCGGUAUAAUACAUCCCACCGUAACUUCAUAAUUUCAAAAAUUUGGUACCUUACACUAUCUUUCUUGCAGGCAUGGUAUUAGUAUAUAGCAUUAGUGGGUUUGCUAAACCCACUGGGAACUUCAUUCUAGUUCUCAUUACCACUAACCCUGCAGAUCCGAGCGAAAGCGGGGCGGCAGAGGAUCGAGGCAAGGGUUUAGCGCAGUAGCUAGCAGCCACCGGAGUUACUAGGAAUUUCCCUAUGUAUAGAAUUUUAACUUUUGUAUGUUGAAUAAAAUAAUGUAAAUCAUGUUUUGAUUAAAUGUGUAAAUGAAAGAGAAUGGAUGUAAUAGUAUUUGUAUUUGGUUAAAAUGUAAUCAAAUAUGAUAUGUAUGUUUGUAUGUUUAGUGUAGUAGUUAGAGCUU
rnacentral:lncRNA from 1 species